rnacentral:rRNA from 1 species
CGGGGGAUAAGCUUCGUAGUCGAGAGGGAAACAGCCCAGAUCGCCGGCUAAGGCCCCUAAGCGUGUACUAAGUGGAAAAGGAUGUGGGGUCGCGAAGACAACCAGGAGGUUGGCUUAGAAGCAGCCAUCCUUGAAAGAGUGCGUAAUAGCUCACUGGUCAAGUGAUCCUGCGCCGACAAUGUAGCGGGGCUCAAGUACACCGCCGAAGCCGCGGCACUCCAACAUGACAUCCGCAUCGGGUUACGGUCCGGUGUGCAGUGGUUGGGGUGGGUAGGGGAGCGUCGUGCAGCCAGGGAAGCAGCAGUGUGAACUAGUUGUGGAGGCUGUGCGAGUGAGAAUGCAGGCAUGAGUAGCGAAAGACGAGUGAGAAACUCGUCCGCC